GCAAACUCAAGAGCUUUCACUCCACACUUGCCCACACGUUUUUGCCUCCAAGCUUCCAAGCUUUCAAGUGCUCAAGUGUCCUAGCUUUCCAAAGCUUCAAAAGCUCUCCAACUUCUUCUUCUAAUCUUCUUGUUCAUCUUUACAAGUAAAAAGUGUUGUUUGCUUUAAUAUUCCACUCCUCUAAUCACCUCUUGUGUGUGUCCACUUUGGUUGAGAGAGUUGUCUCAAUAGUACCAAAGUGUGAGAGAAGGUUUUUGAGCUCAACCAUAAAGCUCUAGGUCGAGUCUACCUUGAAAGAUUUCAGAGGUUUUUAAGAGUUCCUUGAUACUCUAAGGUACUAACUUACCCGUAAAAGUUAGAGGUUCUUAAGAGUGCCCUUGAUACUCUAAGGUGUGAGUCUACCCGUAAAAGACUGGUUCCUAAGCGAAGUAGCCUUAAAGCUUAGAGAGGUUUUUAAGAGUUCCUUGAUACUCUAAGGUACUAACUUACCCGCAAAAGUUAAAGGUUCUUAAGAGUGCCCUUGAUACUCUAAGGUGUGAGUCUACCUGUAAAAGACUGGUUCCUAAGCGAAGUAGCCUUAAAGCUUAGAGAGGUUUUUAAGAGUUCCUUGAUACUCUAAGGUACUAACUUACCCGCAAAAGUUAAAGGUUCUUAAGAGUGCCCUUGAUACUCUAAGGUGUGAGUCUACCUGUAAAAGACUGGUUCCUAAGCGAAGUAGCCUUAAAGCUUAGAGAGGUUUUUAAGAGUUUCCUUGAUACUCUAAGGUUUUGCCAUAACCUUUAGGCGAGUGAAUUCCAACAGUUGGUCGGGACUGGACUAGCCCUUGUUUGGGUGAACCAGUAUAAAUCUUUUGUGUUGUUCUUUGUUAACUCUAGUUUUUAUCUUUCAUCUAAAAACAACUAAACAACACUUAAUUGGAAAGGAUCCCUCUUCCAGUUAUCUGGUCAAAUACAGAGGUUACUACUUUACGCAGAUCCCUCAUCCAGUUAUCUGGUCAACUAUCUGAGGUUAUAUUAAUUGCUUUAAAUCCUUAUUCAUAUAUUUGUUCAAGCAUUUACUUAUCAUAUAUAUAUCCAGUUAUCUGGUCAUUUACUUGCUUAUCAAUAUAUCCAGUUAUCUGAUCAUUUACUCUAUAAUAUAACUUGUGUUUAUAAUUUAACUUAGUAUUCAUAUACUAUAGUUGUUUAUAAAACACCAUCUGAAAAGUUGACUACGUAUUCAUAUACUGUAGUAAACUUCAAGAGCAAAAGGCAAGUCCAAUAUAUAUAAUAUUAUAAGAUAUAAUAUUAUAUUCUUUAAAAUCAUAUAAUAGUAUUAUAUUGCUAACAAUAUUAUACUAUUAUUAUUAUACAACCAUUUGUGUACUUAAGUGUGUGCAGGUAAUUCCGCUAUUAACUUGCAUAAAUCGAAAAGAGGCUAUUAUCCCUUCUUAUAGCUUCGGAUCUCGAUCCAACAAGUGGUAUCAGAGCCAUGUACCGUUGAAGUUUGACUAACAUCUUACAACAACAACUAUGGCACCAAAUGGUGAAUUCAACACUGGUCUUGCGUCAAACAAACCUCCCAGGUUCGAUGGAGUAAAGUAUGACUUCUGGAAGAACAAGAUGAAGUUAUACUUGAAGUCAAUCAACAAUGGAGUAUGGAAGAUCAUAUUAGAGUGGCUAAAUUACGACUUGUGAAUCUAGUUUCGAGUCUUAGUUACAAUUUAAAAAAUAAAUUAAAUAAACAAUUAAUUAAGAAAGCAAAAUAAUUGAUUGAGUUCCAAAAAAUUACAAAAAUAUCAAAACAUUACAAGAGGGGGAGUAUCACGAGCUCUCCCGACACUUCUGUCGCUUCGGCCAGAAAUCGUCAAAACCCUCACAGUUACCCAAAACUUAGGAGUCGACGAUUGGGAUACCUAGUCGCCGACUCAGGGUAAAACAACAUCACAUUUCCAGGAGGGAGUAUCACAAGCUCUCUCCAACACUUCUGUCGCUUCGGCCAGAAGUCGUCACGUUUCAAGAGAGAGUAUCACAAGCUCUCUCCGACACUUUUGUCGCUUCGGCCAGAAGUCGUCACGUUUCAAGAGAGAGUAUCACAAGCUCUCUCCGGCAUCAGGGUUCAAACUUAAGUUGUAAUUGGAAAUUACAAACGUAACCCUCGAGUUUGAAAAUUUUGCAUCCUUCGUAUUUUUCAUUCGCGCUAUCUUUUACAACUCUACAUUAAUCUGGAGGUAUAAAUUAUCCGCAAAUUUAACCGUAGGCUGAGCUACGAUUCGUACGACCAAGUCUACGCCCAGAGUGACUAACAAUAGGGUUAGCAGAGUCUAAUUUACGUCCAGAGUGGCUAAAUUACGACUUGUGAAUCUAGUUUCGGUCCUUAGUUACAAUUUAAAAGGUAAUUUAUAUGAAAGAUUAGCAAUAAAAAUAAAAUAAAAGAUAGUCCAUUAACAAUCAC
rnacentral:lncRNA from 1 species